AUUCCAGCUCUGUAAGCGUAUACCAAAGUUGUUGCAGUUAAAACGCUCGUAGUCGAACCUUGGCGUGAGUUACGGAGGCUCCUAAUGGACGUCGAAGUAACUCCGCCUUCGUGGAGGGGGGUGUGGUGUUACUUCAUUGUAUUGCCGCAUUUCCGCCACUGUUUACUGUGAAAAAAUUAGAGUGUUCAAAGCGAGCGUUUGCCAUGAAUACAUUAGCAUGGAAUAAUAGAAUAGGACCUGGUCCUGUUUUAUUGGUUUGUCUGUAUCAGGUAAUGAUUAACAGGGACGGUCGGGGGCAUUUGUAUUCCAGCGUUAGAGGUGAAAUUCUUGGAUCGCUGGAAGACAAACAGCUGCGAAAGCGUCUGCCAAGGACGUUUUCAUUA
rnacentral:rRNA from 1 species